rnacentral:rRNA from 1 species
AUUGAACGCUGGCGGCAUGCCUUACACAUGCAAGUCGAACGGUAACGCGGGGCAACCUGGCGACGAGUGGCGAACGGGUGAGUAAUGCAUCGGAACGUGCCCAGUAGUGGGGGAUAGCCCGGCGAAAGCCGGAUUAAUACCGCAGACGACCUACGGGUGAAAGGGGGGGAUCGCAAGACCUCUCGCUAUUGGAGCGGCCGAUGUCAGAUUAGGUAGUUGGUGGGGUAAAGGCCCACCAAGCCGACGACCUGUAGCUGGUCUGAGAGGACGACCAGCCACACUGGGCCUGAGACACGGCCCAGACUACGACGGGAGGCAGCAGUGGGGAAUUUUGGACAAUGGGCGCAAGCCUGAUCCAGCCAUGCCGCGUGCGGGAAGAAGGCCUUCGGGUUGUAAACCGCUUUUGUCAGGGAAGAAAUCUUUUGGGUUAAUACCUCGGAAGGAUGACGGUACCUGAAGAAUAAGCACCGGCUAACUACGUGCCAGCCGCCGCCGUAACAC